CCUGGAUGUUCGGGUCGUCAGGUGGUCCAGAACCUGAUCUCCCAUCGCAGUGUGGGAUGGGAAGGGGUCUGUGGGACUGGCAUUGCUUCCUCAAUCCCCACCUACCAAACCAAAGGUGAGGGCAGUGUAUAGCGAGCAGUUAUCAGAGAAGAUGGAAGCAAAAACGUUGUUGGGUACCUGAGCCUUCUCUGGUGGUAAGCAGCAUCGUGCACAGAGUGCAGCCACGUUGUUCUGAGAAAGGAGCGCAGCUUUGUGAAAGAGAUGCAUAUGCAGGGCAGUGCCUUCAUUACUGCAUUGUGUCCAACAGGUGGCAGCAGAGCUGCGGUGCUCCCGAGUGCGGUAAGGACUGCACGGAGAUGUGUGGGUCUUCGUAGGAGCAGCAAGGAGCCGGAAUCUGCAUUUCCUGGAAUGCCCCGGAAGCUCACUUUGCUGACCGGUAAUUGUCUGCCCAGCAGGUGGCAGCAGAGGUGCUCCCGAGUGCCGUAAGGACUGCACGGAGAUGUGUGGGAGCAGCAAGGAGCCGGAAUCUGCAUUUCCUGGAAUGCCCCGGAAGCUCACUUUGCUGACUUGUAAUUGUCUGCCCAGCAGGUAAAGAUGCCUUUGACACUUCCAGUCGAUGACUUCCCUCCUGGGACGCCAUCAGCUUUCGAAGCCUCCCACACUCGCCAGCAGCUCGGUUCAGUUGAGCCGUUCCCCAUAUCCCCCAGUCCGUUCCCUUUCCAUAGUCUUCCUUUCACUCUGCCCCAAGCCCCUACCACCGCCCAAGGUUGUCACAGGCGAUGUGUGGUAUGUGGCACUUGGUCUCAUUAUAGUUCAUUCCAUUGGCCUCAGCCCAGUGAUCCAACCCACCCACACCUUUCUUUAGGGCCCUUCUGCUCUCAGGCCAAUCAAUGCUUCCUUCUGGUGCGAUUUGUUUUCCUUCCCAGCCACUUUUUGACUUGUGCCUCUUUGUGGCCAUUUUGAGAGUUGUGCUGAUUUCAGCGUUUGCAUUCAAUUUAUCUCCACCAAAUUGGCUGUAGCUUCACAAUCAAUUUAAGUAAAUCAAAUUGGCUGUAGCUUCACAAUCAAUUUAUGUAAACCAAAUUGGUUUUAGCUUUGCCUUGCUUACGGGGUUGGGUUAGCUUUGCUUUGUUUGUUUGUACCGCAGGGCUAACCCAACCCCGUAAGCAAGGCUCAAGGGCCGUUGGAGGCAAUUUAUGUUCCUUCCCGGCCAGUCUGAGACUCGUGCCCCUUUGUGGCCAUUUUGAGAAUUGCGCUGAUUUCAGCGUGCGCAUUCCAUUUAUUCCAACCAAAUUGGCUUCAGCUUUGCCUUGCUUACGGGGUUGGGUUAGCUUUGCUUUGUUUGUUUGUACCGCAGGGCUAACCCAACCCCGUAAGCAAGGCUCAAGGGCCAUUGGAGGCCAUUUGUGCUCCUUCCCGGCCACUCUGAGUCUCGCGCUCCUUUGUGGCCAUUUUGAGAAUAGCAUUACCUGUUGGAUGGGCUGAGAUCUGUAUUGCUUUUGAAGCGGGUUGCAGUAUACAUUGUGUAAAUGUAAUGUCAUAAAUGCAGUAUGGAGGCUUGGUGAUCUUUCCUGGUUAUUCUGACAUGUAAUCAAUGGGAUGCAACUGUACAGAAUUGGUGUGGGAUGCGCCUGUAAACCUGUAUCAUUCUAUGUAUGGAAUACAUGUAUGCUGUGCAUGAGCUAUGUCUUGGAAUUGUAAAGAAUAUGAGUACCCAUGUUAUGCUUGUAAAUGUCCAGUUGCUGUUAAAGUGUGCAAUGCUUGUAUGAGUCAUGUCUUGUGGAAAUAAUGGUGUAAUAAAAUACUUCCG